rnacentral:tmRNA from 1 species
GGGGCUGAAUAGCUCGACAUUUGGACAUUUACAAGUUGGUGUCAGCAGACCGGUUGUCUGAACGUUAUCCGGACAAACCAAAUAGAUGCAGAAUCUCUGAAAUCUAUUGCAAAACAAGUUGCUAGCGCUUUCCGCGCACCACAAUUUGCUUUUGCAACAGCUGCCUAAUUAUUUUCGCAGCGACUGUUAGUUUCACAUCAGAUAAGACGAAACAGUCUCAUAUUUUUCUGAUUGCUUAAACACUAUGGUCCAUAGUGUUUACUAAGAUUUAGGAUUGCAGCGGUUCAUGUUUUUGUCAGUUUCGAUCAUGAACAGCUUAAGAAACCAAUCAAACCGACUAUGUCUGUAGAAAGCCAAUGAGUAACCGAAUGGACGCGGGAUCAAACCCGCCAGCUCCACCA